rnacentral:rRNA from 1 species
AUACGGAGGGUCCGAGCGUUAUCCGGAAUUAUUGGGUUUAAAGGGUCCGUAGGCGGGCGAUUAAGUCAGUGGUGAAAGUCUGCAGCUCAACUGUAGAAUUGCCUUUGAUACUGAUCGUCUUGAGUUAUCGUGAAGUUGCCGGAAUAUGUAGUGUAGCGGUGAAAUGCAUAGAUAUUACAUAGAACACCGAUUGCGAAGGCAGGUGACUAACUGUAUACUGACGCUGAUGGACGAAAGCGUGGGGAGCGAACAGGAUUAGAUACCCUAGUAGUCC